rnacentral:rRNA from 1 species
AACGAACGCUGGCGGCAUGCCUAACACAUGCAAGUCGAACGAGACCUUCGGGUCUAGUGGCGCACGGGUGCGUAACGCGUGGGAAUCUGCCCUUGGGUUCGGAAUAACUCAGAGAAAUUUGAGCUAAUACCGGAUGAUGACGUAAGUCCAAAGAUUUAUCGCCCAAGGAUGAGCCCGCGUAAGAUUAGCUUGUUGGUAGGGUAAUGGCCUACCAAGGCGACGAUCUUUAGCUGGUCUGAGAGGAUGAUCAGCCACACUGGGACUGAGACACGGCCCAGACUCCUACGGGAGGCAGCAGUGGGGAAUAUUGGACAAUGGGCGAAAGCCUGAUCCAGCAAUGCCGCGUGAGUGAUGAAGGCCUUAGGGUUGUAAAGCUCUUUUACCAGGGAUGAUAAAUGACAGUACCUGGAGAAUAAAGCUCCGGCUAACUCCGUG